ACACACACACACACACACACACACACACACACACACACACAUCAGAAGUAGGUGUUAUUGCAGCAGAAAGACAACCGUGCAUGUGUGCAGCCUUUGCACAUCGCUCCAUCCACCACUUUCCCCUUUUCCUUGGCACAGCUUCGUCGCCGGAUGAACCAUCGUCAUAAAAAGCUUUCCGAACGUCGGACAAUCCGCUUGGGAUGCUUUGAUUACUUACAAAGUUUUUUUUUUUGCCGUUAUCUUUGUUUUUUCUUCUAUCUCUCUGGGUACAGAGUGGAGCAAUAAAAGGACUUCUCGAUUUCAGCGAGGUUUGGCACAAGCCCUCAACUACAGGACUGACAUCUAGAAGGUGAUGGUGGCGAAUGCUGUACACUAAUUGGAACAGCAUCACAAAAUCUCAUGCAACUCUAUUAGUGAGUUGAUUUUUGUUAUCACAUUUCAUAAUUCAUCACAAAGAGUUAAAGCUUUUUGAUUCCAACUUUUCAAAACUUUGUGUCUGAAUAAAAUUGUGCAAAGGAACGGCAUCAGACGAGCGCUUUAAACUCUACACAACGGAGUUCGUUUUAUACCAAGUAGCUCUCAGAGCCUCAGUGAAACAGACAAUGGACUGACAGAGGGUGAAAAGAGGAGAGACCUUGAGACAGAGAGAGACUCGGGAGAGAGAAAAAGCUGUAAGUAGGGUAAAAAAACAGAAGAGACAACACUGAGAGAACGGCAGAUAACGGAGCAACCGAGGGGCGAAGGA